GGGCCAAUAGCUCAGUCGGUUAGAGCACCUGCCUCUUAAGCAGGGUGUCCUGGGUUCGAGCCCCAGUUGGCCCU
rnacentral:tRNA from 1 species